AUUCCAGCUCCAAUAGCGUAUAUUAAAGUUGUUGCGGUUAAAAAGCUCGUAGUUGGAUUUCUGCUGAGGACGACCGGUCCGCCCUCUGGGUGAGUAUCUGGCUCGGCCUUGGCAUCUUCUUGGGGAACGUAACUGCACUUGACUGUGUGGUGCGGUAUCCAGGACUUUUACUUUGAGGAAAUUAGAGUGUUUCAAGCAGGCGCACGCCUUGAAUACAUUAGCAUGGAAUAAUAAGAUAGGACCUUGGUUCUAUUUUGUUGGUUUCUAGAGCUGAGGUAAUGAUUGAUAGGGAUAGUUGGGGGCAUUCGUAUUUAACUGUCAGAGGUGAAAUUCUUGGACCGUUUGAAGACAAACUACUGCGAAAGCAUUUGCCAAGAAUGUUUUCAUCA
rnacentral:rRNA from 1 species